rnacentral:rRNA from 1 species
UACAAUGGAGAGUUUGAUCCUGGCUCAGGAUGAACGCUAGCGGCAGGCUUAACACAUGCAAGUCGAGGGGUAACAGGGAAAAGCUUGCUUUUCCGCUGACGACCGGCGCACGGGUGCGUAACACGUAUGCAACCUACCUCUUACUGAAGGAUAGCCCAGAGAAAUUUGGAUUAAUACCUCAUGGUAUCAUUUGAUUGCAUGAUUAGAUGAUUAAAGAUUUAUCGGUAUAAGAUGGGCAUGCGUUAGAUUAGCUAGUUGGUGAGGUAACU